CCUGGCCGUCCUGAUGGGCAGAGGCGAAAGCAAACCACGAGCAGUAGCCAUCUCAAAAAGCUUAUUCAGAGGUUCCAUGGCCAGAUUGAAAAGACAGGGGGAGAUAGCGUCUCCUUGCCGAAGUCCACGUCUGUGAGCGAAAGGCAUCCCUUCAAUUCCGUUGCACAGGACUCCCCGGCUGCUUUCAGCCAUUAACAUAGGCAUAUGUUGAGGAGAAAUGUCACUCUUGUUUCAUACCUCAAAUUAAGAAAUCGAGAGGUGUGGAGGGUUUCCGGCAAGCGUUGCAUCCAGGUGGCCGCAUCUCCAUCAUGAUCGAGGAGGACGACGAGAUCGCCUUGACAAGAAACUUGAGCAGAGCCCUUGGGCAUUCCAGAAGAUAGAUCUACAUCUUUUGCCUCGCCAAUAUGAAGCCUGCAUGUGCAAAAUUAGAAGACUAAAUUGCUUCACUCCCUGACUUCUCUAGCAUUAUCAAGGUCAUUAAUGCAGCUGAGCACAAGAAAUCUUUAAUUGCUGGUGUUGGGUUUAGGGAUGUUCUUCAUUUUGAUGAUUUCCCAGUUCCUCGUUUUUCGCCAAAUGGAUCGCUGGGAAAGUGGAUGUCCAGAAUCAUGACAUUGUUGUUGGGGGCAGGAGUAUCCCUAUGAGUCCUUUAAUUUUCCACCAGAUCUUGGGUACUCCAUUUGGGUCCGAGGAUUCGAAGGUUUUAUUCCUGCAGUUUUUCAGGCUUAAUAGGCUUCCUCCUAUUAAGUCUUUUUGGGGAUAAGAUACUCGAUGAUGCACUAUCCGAUGAUGAGCUUAUUAGGUGCUUUUUGGUGGUAGUUCUGUCGAUUUUCAUUUGCCCCUCUUCUAGCACGCUUCCCACCACAAAGAUUUUAGGAGCUUUUGUUGGUAAUUGAUGAAAUUAAGAGUUAUGAUUGGUCCAAGUUUGGCUUUGAAUGGCUACUUUUAUGUCUCAAGAAAUUUCAGAAGGAAAUGCUCGGUACUUCCCAAGCUACAAUGACUCUUGGCGGUUGUAUCUACGAACUUGCUUGGCUGAGCAUGGGGGUCUUGACACUUCAGUCAGUGGUUAUGGUUUUGAUGGCCAAGUAGAUCGCAGUACCGGUUUUCGGCGCACUCGUUCAUGUGGUCGCAACCGGUUCUUCAUGGCCUUGGUUGUGGUCGUGGUUGGGGCCGGAUCAGCGUCUUAGCCGGAAAAGGUGAUGAUGGCUAUGGCAGUCGUGGGUACCAACUUUGCAUGAGGAACUGAUGUGGUGUCCAUUGUCUAGUAGUAAGGUUUAAGGACAUGAAAGUCCUCAAUCUGAUAGACGAAGCAACGGUUGCCGAUGAUUUUGGCAAUGCAGCGGCGUCCAGUUUGAUGACGCCGUCUAUUAUUGUUACCAAUUAUGAGGUGACACAAAAGCGAUAGGUUAGAAUCCUUUGUUUUUCUGACUUGUUGUCAUUUUGAGUUUGUAAUAGUUGAGAUCGAUCGUUUUUUGCGACUUAAUAAUAUUACGAAUGUGUACAUUG